rfam:Brassica rapa chromosome A1, whole genome shotgun sequence.
GAGCUAAUAGGAUUGAACAAAGUCACGCACAUGUUAAUCCAUUUGUUUCACUUUGUUAGCAGUCUCAAUUGGUUUCUUGCUGAUCAUUUCAUGAUGGGAUAUAU